rnacentral:rRNA from 1 species
UACGUAGGGUCCGAGCGUUGUCCGGAAUUAUUGGGCGUAAAGGGCUCGUAGGUGGUUUGUCGCGUCGGGAGUGAAAUCCCUGGGCUUAACCCAGGGUCUGCUUUCGAUACGGGCAGACUAGAGGCAUUCAGGGGAGAACGGAAUUCCUGGUGUAGCGGUGAAAUGCGCAGAUAUCAGGAGGAACACCGGUGGCGAAGGCGGUUCUCUGGGAAUGUUCUGACGCUGAGGAGCGAAAGUGUGGGGAGCGAACAGG